rnacentral:rRNA from 1 species
CAGCCGCCGCGGUAAUACGGAGGGUGCAAGCGUUAUCCGGAUUCACUGGGUUUAAAGGGUGCGUAGGCGGAUAGGUAAGUCAGGGGUGAAAUCCUGGAGCUUAACUCCAGAACUGCCUUUGAUACUAUCUAUCUUGAAUAUGGUGGAGGUAAGCGGAAUAUGUCAUGUAGCGGUGAAAUGCAUAGAUAUGACAUAGAACACCUAUUGCGAAGGCAGCUUACUACGCCUAUAUUGACGCUGAGGCACGAAAGCGUGGGGAUCAAACAGGAUUAGAUACCCUGGUAGUCCACGCCCUAAACGAUGAUUACUCGACGUAUGCGAUACACAGUAUGCGUCUGAGCGAAAGCAUUAAGUAAUCCACCUGGGAAGUACGACCGCAAGGUUGAAACUUAAAGGAAUUGGCGG